rnacentral:tRNA from 1 species
UGUAGAUUAGUGUAAGAUGCACAUUAAUUUUUGGAAUUAGUUGAUUAAGUUUAAUUCUUAAAUUUACAA